GCCAAACAUCUUCAUAACCUGGUAUAUUUAAGGACUGAUAAAUACGAACAUCGAUCUGAUAAUAAGGAACAUAAAAAUUGGAUUAAUACUAAUGCUUGAAGAAAAUAUAACAAGAAAAUCCAUACUUGGAAAAACUUAAUCAUUAAACCUUAUUAAUGCAAAUGACAAGACUUCGAAGUUUGGGACAAUGAUUGAGCACUUUCAAGACCAGAAGCCAAUCCAGGG
rnacentral:lncRNA from 1 species